rnacentral:rRNA from 1 species
AGAGUUUGAUCCUGGCUCAGAUUGAACGCUGGCGGAAUGCUUUACACAUGCAAGUCGAACGGCAGCACGGGUGCUUGCACCUGGUGGCGAGUGGCGAACGGGUGAGUAAUGCAUCGGAACGUACCGAGUAAUGGGGGAUAACGCAUCGAAAGGUGUGCUAAUACCGCAUACGCCCUGAGGGGGAAAGUGGGGGAUCGCAAGACCUCACGUUAUUCGAGCGGCCGAUGCCUGAUUAGCUAGUUGGUGAGGUAAAGGCUCACCAAGGCGACGAUCAGUAGCUGGUCUGAGAGGAUGAUCAGCCACACUGGAACUGAGACACGGUCCAGACUCCUACGGGAGGCAGCAGUGGGGAAUUUUGGACAAUGGGCGCAAGCCUGAUCCAGCCAUUCCGCGUGAGUGAAGAA